rnacentral:lncRNA from 1 species
AGGCGGCGGUUCUCGGUGGUGCACUAGAAUUCCUUUAUGAGCGUAAUUCCUUGGACCAUAAUCAUCACCCGAGGAAGCCACAUGAGACACCAGUUUUAGGGGUUUCCAUUGCUAUGAAGAGUCACCAUAACCAAGGCGACUCUUAUAAAGGACAACAUUUAAUUAGGGCUGGAUUACAAUUUCAGAGGUUCAGUCUGUUAUCGUCUUGACAGGAAGCAUGGCGGCAUCCAGGCAUACAUGGUGCUGGCAAAGGAACUGAGAACUUUACAUCUUGAUCCAACUGCAUCCAAGAGAAGAUUGACUGUCUCCCAGGUCACUAGGAGGAGGGACUCAAAGCCAACCCCCCAGUGAAACACUUUCUCCAACAAGGCCACACGUCCUCCUCACGCCACUCCUUGGGCCAAGCAUUUGGGAUCUCCCUUUCACUAAUGAGAAUGCAGAGGCAGUGUUAGCAGAGUAGACUUCAGGUGUAGACUAUGACCCUGACUACCAUUCCACUACUGCCUGUCUCAAGGACACUGACAUUGACACUUCAUGGGAAUUUUAGAUCAUAUACAUGAGGAUUCCUAGUAGUCAUUUAAUGUCUGUACCUUCUUCCCCCCUUAUCUUGUAAAUUACUCACAUUUGAGUGUCUGUUUUUAGAAACUUCUAUGCAACACUUUCACUCUGAUGUGGUGACUUCCAAGUAACAUAGGUACAGACUAUAAGCCACGUCUUGGCCAUGAGGACUCUCAGUGUCCUGUACAAAUUAAUGACUUCCCAUUCUCAUUAAAUGUCAGCUUAGUCCUGUUAAUCACCCUUAAAUUUAAUUUUAGCAAGAUACAUGCAUGCCAAUUGACUCCUCUAAAUUUAUUUCUUGUAGGCAGAUAUUCCUAUGAACCUGCAUUUCAGCAUGGUCAGAUUAACAAUUUUUGCUCAGCAAUCUUAGCAUUGCGUUAACAUUCACUGCCUGAAUGCACAGUACCUGGCUUCUCUUUGCAAGUGAUGUUGCGAAGGAAAUCGCCAUUUUGCUAAGGAGCAACAUUUUAAAUUUGCUUUAUUUCUAGAUCGUGAGGACUUCCUUUGCUUUUGUUUGAUGCUUUUUAAGUGGUAUUUGUGUGCUGGGUAAAAGGGCAGCCUCAGAGGACCCCAACUGUGUUGGUGCCACACUAAUGGAAGAAAGCUCAGUGCAUCCGCCUGAAUAGUUUCCACAGAGACAGAGCUCAAGUUUGAAGACGCCACUUCUGACUCUGAGACAUCUUCCAUCCGUCUGCUGCUUACAGCCUUUGGCCUAUCUGAAAUCUGUAAGGUGUGUGUGGCUGACCUGUUCUGAUUGCCUAAGUGUCGUCCCUAACAAAAAGUUUUCUCUCUGUUGCUUGGACAGCACAGAACCUUGGCAUGGGGAGUGAAUGAGGGAGACUUUACAGAAAUCUUUAUCAGAGCUUUACAAGCGUUUAACUUACGGACCCCAAAGCACUCAGAGCGACAAACACACACUUUUCAAGCAAUACUUAUGCACGGUUUCCAUCAUUUAUGGUGAAUGUUGUUCACAUUGCUUUUGACCUGUUGCUGCUUUCAACAAUAGGUUGCCAUAACACGCAUACAAACACUUGAUUGCUCUCUGGGUCAGAGACAUGAAAUAAUGCACACUUCCAGAUUACAGCUGUGCCUUAGCCCUGGCUGUAUAUGCUAAUUAUUUGGAAAAUCCGGGGCAAGUAAGGUUGGUUAUGUUAUUCUCUUAAAGGCAGGUUAAACAGACAACCUGAGCACACAGCAGGGUAUAGGCUAAAUCUUAAGUGACCUCCACAUGUAUUUCUUAACAUAACUGUGAGUUCCUAUCUCUCUGAGUGUAAGAGAUAUUUUCAUACAAAUGCAUUAACACAUACUUAACAUCCAAAAGAAAGACAACAGAGGUUUCUCAUCCUCAUUUAAACAGAAGGUGGACAAGGGUACAAAUUAAUGAGAAAUCUGUGGGUUCCUUUUCUCCCUUUCUUUGUCUUGUUGUCAAGAGGGCCAUGCGAACACUUAUUAAAGGUUAUUUUUGAAUC